CAGAGGGUAGUUUAAUUAAAAUAUUAAUUUUGGGAAUUAGUGAUAAAGUAUUACUUUCCUUCUGA
rnacentral:tRNA from 2 species